rnacentral:rRNA from 18 species
GAACGCUGGCGGCAGGCCUAACACAUGCAAGUCGAACGGUAACAUUUCUAGCUUGCUAGAAGAUGACGAGUGGCGGACGGGUGAGUAAUGCUUAGGAAUCUGCCCAGUAGCGGGGGACAACAUGGUGAAAACCAUGCUAAUACCGCAUACGCCCUACGGGGGAAAGCAGGGGAUCUUCGGACCUUGCGCUAUUGGAUGUGCCUAUGUCGGAUUAGCUAGUUGGUGGGGUAAGAGCCUACCAAGGCGACGAUCCGUAGCUGGUCUGAGAGGAUGAUCAGCCACAUCGGGACUGAGACACGGCCCGAACUCCUACGGGAGGCAGCAGUGGGGAAUAUUGCGCAAUGGGGGAAACCCUGACGCAGCAAUGCCGCGUGAGUGAGGAAGGGUUUCGGCUCGUAAAGCUCUGUCAGAUGGGAAUAAUGGUCAAGGGUCUAAUAGGCCUUUGAUUUGAAGGUACCUUCAAAGGAAGCACCGGCUAACUUCGUGCCAGCAGCCGCGGUAAUACGAAGGGUGCAAGCGUUGUUCGGAUUUAUUGGGCGUAAAGCGCGCGCAGGCGGACGGCUAAGUCAGAUGUGAAAUCCCGGGGCUCAACCUCGGAACUGCGUCUGAAACUGGUCGUCUAGAAUCUCGGAGAGGAAAGGGGAAUUUCGCAUGUAGGGGUAAAAUCCGUAGAGAUGCGAAGGAACACCAGAGGCGAAGGCGCCUUUCUGGACGAGUAUUGACGCUGAGGCGCGAAAGCGUGGGGAGCAAACAGGAUUAGAUACCCU